rnacentral:snoRNA from 1 species
CCCCUCCAGAUUCCUAGCUAUCUGAUCUAAACACUACUAUGGGUGGCCACGAAAGGAGGAAAAGCCAAAUGAAACAGACAUGAGUAGUUUUGUGACCUACAAAUUCAUUUUUAAAAGAA